rnacentral:lncRNA from 1 species
GUGAUCUUUAAAGCUUCCCCAGGAAUUGGGCAAUUGAAAGACUUCCCAGGGAUGCCCAGCACUCCGACCAGAUGCUCAGCUAUCACUUGCUUCCUUCUGCUCUUCCUUUUGCCCUUUCUCCCUUCUCUACUACUAAUCCCAGAGCACCAGCAAGCACAGGACCAGGGCACAGGGGGUUCCCUCAGAGCUUCACUCUAUUCCUUUCUGAGUUCAAACGUCAAUUCCGCAGACCUCCGUCAGCAGCCCAAUCCACAAGCCCCGUGGUCCUCCAACUUUGCUGUAUAAUGGAAUCAGCUAGAGAUCUUUCAAUAAUACUGAUGCCUCAGUCUCACGCUCAGAAAUUCUGAUUUAACUAUUCAGGUGCAUUGGGAUUUUCAAGAACUCCUUAGGUGAUUCUGCUAAGAUCGGAACCACUACAUUACGCUGUUUGAUGAUUUUCUGAUAUUCUCUUAAUUGCUGACUUGUCUUUAUCUCCCACCGGCUCCGGAAGACAUGGAAGCUUAUUCUUGUCAACAUCAUCCAGUCCUGUACCCCAGCACCUCUCGCCCUGCUAUGAGCUGAGCCUCAUAGUGUAACUUCUAAGGAGAAGCGUGGGGAGCUUCAGCUUCUUCAAGAGUUGCCAUGGAGCCUGAAGGGAAUUUAGGAAGUAAUUCAGAUCCAGUCACUCCAUGGACCUUGGGCAACACGCAGUCUCUGGCCCGUGUCUGCCCAGCUUCAUCCCCGCCCUCAGCAGCCAAGCCAAGCGGGAUGUUAAUGGAGCUGACUGUCCCCUCCAGAUCCUCCGCUUUGAUCAGCAUCAAGACUGUCUAGCAGAUCGCGACCCCGCCCAUGAGCCCCAGGAGCCCCGGGCAGGGUCCAGAGCUUGUUUACCUGCUUCUGGGGUCUCAGAGUGCAAACAAUGAGCGGGUUUCAAAGAAAAGAGAACUCCCACAGGGAGGCCAACGCGGGGUUCCGCGCACGCGGAGCAAGGGGGCGCUGCGCCUUCCGCGCAGCAAACCUCUCCUCCCACCUCGCGUUUCCGGAGGCGCAGAAGCCGGCGGCCGGCCUCGGAGAGGACCGCAGAUGCCGCCACCGAGGCCCUGAGGGCCCCUCAGCGAGUGGAUCCAGAUGGCAUCCUUUUCGGGGCUCCCAGUUCAGGGUGCCUUCUCUCGGAGCAAGAGCCCUGCGGGGGGCUUCCGACUAGUCACUUAACUCCUUCGUCAUUG